rnacentral:rRNA from 1 species
GACGAACGCUGGCGGCGUGCUUAACACAUGCAAGUCGAACGGAAAGGCCCUGCUUUUGUGGGGUGCUCGAGUGGCGAACGGGUGAGUAACACGUGAGUAACCUGCCCUUGACUUUGGGAUAACUUCAGGAAACUGGGGCUAAUACCGGAUAGGAGCUCCUGCUGCAUGGUGGGGGUUGGAAAGUUUCGGCGGUUGGGGAUGGACUCGCGGCUUAUCAGCUUGUUGGUGGGGUAGUGGCUUACCAAGGCUUUGACGGGUAGCCGGCCUGAGAGGGUGACCGGCCACAGUGGGACUGAGAUACGGCCCAGACUCCUACGGGAGGCAGCAGUGGAGAAUAUUGCACAAUGGGCGGAAGCCUGAUGCAGCAACGCCGCGUGCGGGAUGACGGCCUUCGGGUUGUAAGCCGCUUUCGCCUGUGACGAAGCGUGAGUGACGGUAAUGGGUAAAGAAGCACCGGCUAACUACGUG